rnacentral:rRNA from 1 species
UGAAGCGGGAAAAGCUCAAAUUUAAAAUCUGGCGGUGUAUGCUGUCCGAAUUGUAGCCUAGAGAAGUGUUACCUGCAUUGGACUGUGUAUAAGUCUCCUGGGAUGGAGCGUCAUAGAGGGUGAGAAUCCCGUGUUUGACACAGAUUACGCGAUGCGUUGUGGUAUGCUCUCAAAGAGUUGAGUUGUUUGGGAAUGCAGCUCUAAAUGGGUGGUAAAUUCCAUCUAAAGCUAAAUAUUGGCGAGAGACCGAUAGCGAACAAGUACCGUGAGGGAAAGAUGAAAAGAACUUUGGAAAGAGAGUUAAACAGUAUGUGAAAUUGUUGAAAGGGAAACGUUUAAAGUCAGUUAUAUUGAUUAGGGAUCAGACUACCAGAUUAAAUGGUGGUCGCAUUUCCUAGUUGAUAGGUCAACAUCAGUUUGGACGGCUAGAGAAAAACAAUGGGGAAUGUGGCACCUUUUGGUGUGUUAUAGACCCGUGUUAUAUAAAGCAGUUAAGACUGAGGA